rnacentral:rRNA from 1 species
GACGAACCGUGCGAACGUUGUUCGGAUUUACUGGGCGUAAAGCGCACGUAGGCGGAUCUUUAAGUCAGGGGUGAAAUGCCGCGGCUCAACCGCGGAACUGCCUUUGAUACUGGGGAUCUGGAGUCCGGGAGAGGUGAGCGGAACUGCGAGUGUAGAGGUGAAAUUCGUAGAUAUUCGCAAGAACACCAGUGGCGAAGGCGGCUCACUGGCCCGGUACUGACGCUGAGGUGCGAAAGCGUGGGGAGCAAACAGG